rnacentral:rRNA from 1 species
GACGAACGCUGGCGGCGUGCUUAACACAUGCCAGUCGAACGGAAAGGCCCUGCUUUUGUGGGGUGCUCGAGUGGCGAACGGGUGAGUAACACGUGAGUAACCUGCCCUUGACUUUGGGAUAACUUCAGGAAACUGGGGCUAAUACCGGAUAGGAGCUCCUGCUGCAUGGUGGGGGUUGGAAAGUUUCGGCGGUUGGGGAUGGACUCGCGGCUUAUCAGCUUGUUGGUGGGGUAGUGGCUUACCAAGGCUUUGACGGGUAGCCGGCCUGAGAGGGUGACCGGCCACAUUGGGACUGCGAUACGGCCCCGACUCCUACGGGAGGCAGCAGUGGGGAAUAUUGCACAAUGGGCGGAAGCCUGAUGCAGCAACGCCGCGUGCGGGAUGACGGCCUUCGGGUUGUAAACCGCUUUCGCCUGUGACGAAGCGUGAGUGACGGUAAUGGGUAAAGAAGCACCGGCUAACUACGUG